GUGGGGAAUUUUGGACAAUGGGGGCAACCCUGAUCCAGCAAUGCCGCGUGUGUGAAGAAGGCCUUCGGGUUGUAAAGCACUUUUGUCCGGAAAGAAAUCGCACUUACUAAUAUUAGGUGUGGAUGACGGUACCGGAAGAAUAAGGACCGGCUAACUACGUGCCAGCAGCCGCGGUAAUACGUAGGGUCCAAGCGUUAAUCGGAAUUACUGGGCGUAAAGCGUGCGCAGGCGGUUGUGCAAGACCGAUGUGAAAUCCCCGGGCUUAACCUGGGAAUUGCAUUGGUGACUGCACGGCUAGAGUGUGUCAGAGGGGGGUAGAAUUCCACGUGUAGCAGUGAAAUGCGUAGAGAUGUGGAGGAAUACCGAUGGCGAAGGCAGCCCCCUGGGAUAACACUGACGCUCAUGCACGAAAGCGUGGGGAGCAA
rnacentral:rRNA from 1 species